GGUUCUUUAGCUCAGUUGGUCAGAGCUAACGGAUCAUAACCGUUCGGUCGCUGGUUCGAGUCCAGCAAGAACCA
rnacentral:tRNA from 2 species